rnacentral:rRNA from 1 species
CGAGGAAGUAACGUUCCUUUUCCUUCGGGACAGAGGAGACAGGUGGUGCAUGGUUGUCGUCAGCUCGUGUCGUGAGAUGUUGGGUUAAGUCCCGCAACGAGCGCAACCCUUACCUUCAGUAGCCAGCGAGUAAAGUCGGGCACUCUGGAGGGACUGCCAGGGAUAACCUGGAGGAAGGUGGGGAUGACGUCAAAUCAUCAUGCCCCUUAUGAUUUGGGCUACACACGUGCUACAAUGGCGUAAACAAAGGGAAGCGAAGCCGUGAGGUGAAGCAAAUCCCAAAAAUAACGUCUCAGUUCGGAUUGUAGUCUGCAACUCGACUACAUGAAGCUGGAAUCGCUAGUAAUCGCGAAUCAGAAUGUCGCGGUGAAUACGUUCCCGGGUCUUGUACACACCGCCCGUCACACCAUGGGGGUUGGUAACGCCCGAAGUCAGUGACUCAACCGAAAGGGGAGAGCUGCCGAAGGCGGGACUGAUAACUGGGGUGAAGUCGUAACAAGGUAGCCGUAUCGGAAGGUGCGGUUGGAUCACCUC